ACAUCCAGCGAACUUGGCAGAGAUGCCUUGGUGCCUUCGGGAACGCUGAGACAGGUGCUGCAUGGCUGUCGUCAGCUCGUGUUGUGAAAUGUUUGGGUUAAGUCCCGNAACGAGCGCAACCCUUUAUCCUUUGUUGCCAGCGAUUCGGUCGGGAACUCAAAGGAGACUGCCGGUGAUAAACCGGAGGAAGGUGGGGAUGACGUCAAGUCAUCAUGGCCCUUACGAGUAGGGCUACACACGUGCUACAAUGGCGCAUACAAAGAGAAGCGACCUCGCGAGAGCAAGCGGACCUCAUAAAGUGCGUCGUAGUCCGGAUCGGAGUCUGCAACUCGACUCCGUGAAGUCGGAAUCGCUAGUAAUCGUGGAUCAGAAUGCCACGGUGAAUACGUUCCCGGGCCUUGUACACACCGCCCGUCACACCAUGGGAGUGGGUUGCAAAAGAAGUAGGUAGCUUAACCUCCGGGAGGGCGCUUACCACUUUGUGAUUCAUGACUGGGGUGAAGUCGUAACAAGGUAAGCGUAGCGAG
rnacentral:rRNA from 1 species